CAAUAAGUACUUAGGGGAAGGUGAAAACCUUCGACAAGGUUCGAGCCGAGCGUAGCGAGACAGCGACGCGCAGUGUCGACCCGAAGGGGGAGGAACGAAGUGACGAAUAAUCCUUCCCCCACCACCA
rnacentral:sRNA from 1 species